GAUGAACGCUGGCGGCGUGCUUAACACAUGCAAGUCGAACGGGAAUUACUUUAUUGAAACUUCGGUCGAUUUAAUUUAAUUCUAGUGGCGGACGGGUGAGUAACGCGUGGGUAACCUGCCUUAUACAGGGGGAUAACAGUCAGAAAUGACUGCUAAUACCGCAUAAGCGCACGGAACCGCAUGGUUCUGUGUGAAAAACUCCGGUGGUAUAAGAUGGGCCCGCGUCUGAUUAGGUAGUUGGUGGGGUAACGGCCUACCAAGCCGACGAUCAGUAGCCGACCUGAGAGGGUGACCGGCCACAUUGGGACUGAGACACGGCCCAAACUCCUACGGGAGGCAGCAGUGGGGAAUAUUGCACAAUGGGGGAAACCCUGAUGCAGCGACGCCGCGUGAAGGAUGAAGUAUUUCGGUAUGUAAACUUCUAUCAGCAGGGAAGAAAUGACGGUACCUGACUAAGAA
rnacentral:rRNA from 1 species